UCAUGUCGGUAUCUCACCCUAUACUAGAAAACCUCAAUCACACAAAACUUAAUGAAACUUCGUGAGAUGGGUUAGUGUAAUAAAGAUAGAACAUUCACUUAGGUGUUUUCAAGACAAGAUUCAUAAUUGUUAUCACAUAAUACCUACUGUAUUCUAUCAUUCACACCAUUUGUAUGACUAAAUAUACGCUAUGGAAACACUAAAAAAAGCAAACUAUGAAUGCAAAACAGAAUCUGUCAAAAACAUAAUAGUGUGUGAAGAUCUG
rnacentral:lncRNA from 1 species